rnacentral:rRNA from 1 species
UACGGAGGGUGCAAGCGUUAAUCGGAAUUACUGGGCGUAAAGCGUGCGUAGGUGGUUCGUUAAGUCCGUUGUGAAAGCCCCGAGCUCAACUUGGGAAUUGCAGUGGAUACUGGCGAGCUGGAGUGCGGUAGAGGAAGGUGGAAUUCCCGGUGUAGUGGUGAAAUGCGUAGAUAUCGGGAGGAACACCAGUGGCGAAGGCGACUUCCUGGCCUGUUCUUGACGCUGAGGCGCGAAAGCUAGGGGAGCAAACGGG